rnacentral:lncRNA from 1 species
CUUAUCUGGGUGGCUUGAGAGCCAGACACAUUUAUGCUGUCCUGUAUCUAUUGGGAUUUGUUAACAUAAAAACAGCAUUCCUCCUGGAGGAAGACACAGAUACUCCGGGGAUGCAAAGAGUGCAUCAGGCGCCUUUCGGUUUUGCAACACCAUUCCAGCGAGGGAGCAAAGUUCACUCUGCAAAUCUCCCACCACUUUAGUCAUUCAUGUCAGCCAUCUGUCCGGAUACAUCCCUGCAAACCUCAUUUGCAGUCAUAAGCCCCCCUACUCCCGCCGCUGUAGCUGCCAAGAUGCUGCUUUCCACGAUGAGGGGUAGGCAGGACGCGGAUCGCACUUCGGAAGCCGAGAGGAGAGCCGUAUUCAGUAACAGCCAGAUCUGGAAGUGUUCUAGUUUUAAACCCAUUGCCCUGAUGUCAGAUAUCCGGUGGGGAAUAGUAGUAGAAUCCUCAACGUUGGUGUGCUUUAAGGUGCCCAGUGUAAAAAGCAAGACUGUCUAUGGAGCAGACUUCAGAGAAAGAGGCUUCUCUGGUCCUGCUGGUAAGAUCUCUUACAGAGUGUCUUUCACAAACAAGUUAGAAAUAGAUGAUCAAGGGGCAGCUAGGUGGCGCAGUGGAUAGAGCUCUGGCCCUGAAGUCAGGAGGACCUGAGUUCAAAUCCAGCCUCAGACACAUAACACUUACUAGCUGUGUGACCCUGGGCAAGUCACUUAACCCCAUUGCUUCAUCAAAAAAAAAAAGAAAUAGAUGAUCAUUCCUUGAUGGUCUCUUGUUCCUCAGCCUGUCAUUGCAGAUAACAGCUGCAUAACAGAAAAGGGUAUACAAAAAGGAGAUACUUCAGUAAGCAUUUAUUAAGCAUAUGUGUGAUCCACAGUCUAUCUUAAAAGUUUUAGGUCCUGGAACUGUGGAUAAGUACACAGGUAAAAGCAAAAUGGUGCCCCCAUCAAGAACUUUACAUUUUGCUAGAGGGGAAAAUGCAUGCACAUACAAUACAUGCAAAAUUAGUACAAAGUCAUUUGGCAGAGGGAUCUGGAGGCAGAGUAUGAACGAUGAGAAAGCCC